rnacentral:lncRNA from 1 species
GUUAACAAUGAGAAUAUCGAUGUCUUUGGGCUUGAGCCCAGUCUUCUCGAACAGAGAGUCCAUGGCGGAGAAGAUGACGAGCUCCGCCUCGCCCCUAGCGGCCUCCAUGGUGGGGUUGGGCGGAAUAUAGUGAAUCGCCGGAGGGAGGCAGGUCUCCUCCCCGAGGCCCGAGCGCUCGAGGAUCCUCAUCUGGAACUCGACGCUCUUGGGGUUGUUGCUGAGGUUGAGGCGGGAGUGCUCCAUGAAGGUGGAGAAGGGGACGCGGCAGGUGACUGGAGGCUUGAAACAGGCGUAGUCGACGAGGUAGAUGGAGCGGGGUUUGGACAUAAAGUAGACGGUGGCGAUGAAGAUGAUGAGGAAUGAGGAGCAGAGGAUUUGGACGAGAUCGAAGUGAAGUGAGUCCCAGAGCUUGAGAAGCUCGUCGGGGCCGAGGCGGAUGACCUCCAGUAGGAUUCCGGCCAUGAUGAGGAUGAGAGUGAGGGUAAGAAUGUGGUUGACGAGGUACUGGUAGCCGAGCUUGACAUACUUGAGCUUGACGG